GGUUGAUUAGUGUAGUUGGUUAUCACAUCGGAUUUUGAUUCCGGGGACCCGGGUUCGAAUCCCAGAUCGACCU
rnacentral:tRNA from 4 species